AGUGAACGCUGGCGGUAGGCCUAACACAUGCAAGUCGAACGGCAGCACAGUAAUAGCUUGCUCUUACGGGUGGCGAGUGGCGGACGGGUGGGGUAUACAUCGGAAUCUACUUUUUCGUGGGGGAUAACGUAGGGAAACUUACGCUAAUACCGCAUACGACCUACGGGUGGAAGCAGGGGAUCUUCGGACCUUGCGCGAUCGAAUGAGCCGAUGUCGGAUUAGCUGGUUGGCGGGGUAAAGGCCCACCAAGGCGACGAUCGCUAGCUGGUCUGAGAGGAUGAUGAGCCACACUGGAACUGAGACGCGGUCCAGACUCCUACGGGAGGCAGCAGUGGGGAAUAUUGGACAAUGGGCGCAAGCCUGAUCCAGCCAUAGCGCGUGGGUGAAGAAGGCCUUCGGGUUGUAAAGCCCUUUUGUUGGGAAAGAAAAGCAGCAGGUUAAUACCCCGCUGUUCUGACGGUACCCAAAGAAUAAGCACCGGCUAACUUCGUG
rnacentral:rRNA from 1 species